rnacentral:rRNA from 1 species
UACGGAGGGUGCGAGCGUUGUUCGGAAUACUGGGCGUAAAGCGCGUGCAGGCGGUCGAUUAAGUCCGGUGUGAAAGCCCGGGGCUCACCCCCGGAAGUGCGCUGGAACUAAUCAACUAGAGUACGGGAGAGGGAAGUGGAAUUCCUGGUGUAGCGGUGAAAUGCGUAGAUAUCAGGAGGAACACCGGCGGCGAAGGCGGCUUCCUGGACCGGUACUGACGCUGAGGUGCGAAAGCGUGGGGAGCAAACAGG